UAGCUCCUCACUUAGGGGUAGCUCGGCACUUACGGGCAGUUCGGCAUAGGCAGCUCGCCACUUACAGGUAGCUCGCCUCCUAUUAGGCCACAAAGACCUGCUUCGGAUAGAAACACCUUGGCAUAUUACUGGUAGCUUGGUGAAAAGUAGCUCGGUAAAAAGUAGCUCGGUGCAAGGUAGCUCAUUGCAGAGUAGCUCGGCGUAUCGCAGGAAGAUUUCCUACCUCACAAUCGUACCUGCCAGAUCUGGAGACUGCACCCACGUCUCUGGCCAGGCGGCGUCAUGCUUGCUAACUCUGACAACGCCUCGUGUCUGACAGGGCCGUACCCUGCAACGGUUACCUGCCCUCACCAGCUCAGCCCUGGCAAGUAACGGCUGCGGCAGAGAAUGAGAGGCGGUUGCGCCAGAUCUGUCAGGACACCACUAUAUAAAAGCUCUGAGCCCCCAGAGGGGGGAGGAGAGAAAAAAUGGAGCUCCGUUGGGUAAACACCCCCGGGUCCUCUGAUUCAGUUCUCGUAGGUCCCUCAGUUCCUACCGUCCACAAAGAUUAGCAGAUCAUCUCUCGCAGGGAGGAUGGGACAUUCAGCUCCUGCCGUCAGCAAAGAGGAGCAUAUCAUCUCAUGCAGAGGGCAGUCGGGUUGCACUACACUAGGAGGCUCGCCACCAAGGCAGCGCACCUAGCAGCUCAUCAAAGUAGCUCACCACCAGGGAGCUUGUCACCAAGUAGCUCACCACCAGGGAGCUUGCUACCAAGUAGCUCACCACCAGGCAGUUCGCUACCAGGGAGCUCCAUCAUCCUCUGAGUCAAGCCACCUGGGAGCAGGUCAAAUGAUAAAGUACUUGGCCAAUAAUUAGUACAUCACAAAAAAAAAAAAAAAAAAA